rnacentral:tRNA from 1 species
UUUUUUCUGGGAGGGGUCGCUGCGCUCGGGCCGCAGCUCUUUCAUGAUCGCUGAAGCGCUGAGGUUGGUUUCCUCGGGAGGAGGC